rnacentral:lncRNA from 1 species
UGGGCUUCAUGAUGUCAAGAAAUAUUAUGAUGACAAUUCAAUAAAUCUGAAUUUAUCUAUAGUUUAAUGAACAAUCUCUUAAACUAUAAAAUGAUGUAAUUACAUAUAAAUAUUUCAAGAUCUUUUUCUUAAAUAUAGUGAUCAUUCGUGUCUUUUUGUCCUGUGACUCUGCAUGUCCUGUGACUCUCUGCCAACAUACGUUUAGCAUGUUUAGUAGCUAGGUCAAGAAUUUUAACCACCAUAGAAUAUAUUUUCCUGAAUUUAUACGAUAUAUCUUACUAAUUAUGUAUCAGAAUUGAACAAUUUCAGUAAAAUCAUUGGCCAGAUCAUAGCCGAUGUUGGUCAGGUUUCACAACCGCAAGCUUUCAAUACGUUUUUUUUCUAUAUUUUUCUUAUAUGAUGUGCAAAAUGGUCUUAAUUGUCAUUAUUUCAAAUUUGAGACAAAUGUUAUGCAUAAUUAGCAUUUUUAUUUGGUCCUGUCAUUAAUUGUCGAGGAUUGUCCUGUUAUUGACAACGUUAACCAGAUCACAUUUCAGCAAGCUUUUUAUACCUUUUUCUUAUAUUUAUGUAUUAAAAUGGUAUAAUCUUCACAUAUUUUAAUUUUCAGAGAAAUAUUCUGCGAAAUAAAAGAAUAAUUAGCAAUUUCAUUUGUUCAGGUCAUUGUCGAGGUUGGUCAUGUCAGUCAGCGAUGGGAUCAUGUCACGAUUUUGAAAGUUUUUGAAAAUAAAUCUUUAUUUUUUAUAACAUAAAUGUUUCAAAAUGUGACAUAUCAUUUUAUGUUUCAAAUCUGAGAUAAUUCUUUUGUAAAAUAAAAAAGUAAUUAGCAUUUAUAUUUGGUCCUGUUAUUGUCGAAGUUGGUCCUGUCAUUAUCAGAGUUGGUCAUGUCACGUUUUCUAAAGUUUCUUACAUAUUUUUU